UAGUCAUAUGCUUGUCUCAAAAAUUACCCCUUGCAUGUCUAAGUAUAAAUGGAUUAUACAGUGAAACUGCAAAUGGCUCAUUAAAUCAGUUAUAGUUUAUUUGAUAACCCCUUUUGCUUGAAUAACCGUAAUAAUUUUAAAGCUAAUACAUGCGUGAAAGUGCAACUUUUGGGAAACCACUGUAUUUAUUAAAUACAAACCCAAUCGAGCUGGCUCGUUACCUUGGUGAUUCAUAAAACCUAACCAAAUCGUAUGACUUUAUGUCAACAAUGAUUCUUCCAAAUUUCUGCCCUAUCAACUUUCGAUGGUAAGGUAUGGCCUUACCAGGGUUACAACGGGUGACGUAUUUUUUGGGUUCGAUUCCGAAAAGGGACCCUGAAAAACGGCUACCACUUCUCCGGAGGGCACAAGGCGCGCAAAUUACCCAAUCCUGACUCAGGGAGGUAGGGACAAAUAAUAACAAUCCGUGACUUCGGUCUAGAAAUUGGAAUGAGUACAUUUUAACCCCCUAAUGGAAUCCAAUUGAAGGGAAAUCCUGGUA
rnacentral:rRNA from 1 species